UGGGGAAUAUUGCACAAUGGGCGCAAGCCUGAUGCAGCCAUGCCGCGUGUAUGAAGAAGGCCUUCGGGUUGUAAAGUACUUUCAGCGGGGAGGAAGGGAGUAAAGUUAAUACCUUUGCUCAUUGACGUUACCCGCAGAAGAAGCACCGGCUAACUCCGUGCUAGCAGCCGCGGUAAUACGGAGGGUGCAAGCGUUAAUCGGAAUUACUGGGCGUAAAGCGCACGCAGGCGGUUUGUUAAGUCAGAUGUGAAAUCCCCGGGCUCAACCUGGGAACUGCAUCUGAUACUGGCAAGCUUGAGUCUCGUAGAGGGGGGUAGAAUUCCAGGUGUAGCGAUGAAAUGCGUAGAGAUCUGGAGGAAUACCGGUGGCGAAGGCGGCCCCCUGGACGAAGACUGACGCUCAGGUGCGAAAGCGUGGGGAGCAAACAGG
rnacentral:rRNA from 1 species